rnacentral:rRNA from 1 species
UACGUAGGGGGCAAGCGUUGUUCGGAAUUACUGGGCGUAAAGCGCACGUAGGCGGGUUGUUAAGUCAGGGGUGAAAUCCUGGAGCUCAACUCCAGAACUGCCUUUGAUACUGAAGAUCUUGAGUUCGGGAGAGGUGAGUGGAACUGCGAGUGUAGAGGUGAAAUUCGUAGAUAUUCGCAAGAACACCAGUGGCGAAGGCGGCUGACUGGUCCGGGAUCUGACGCUGAGGCGCGAAAGCGUGGGGAGCAAACAGG